AGAGUUUGAUCAUGGCUCAGGAUGAACGCUGGCAGCGUGCCUAAUACAUGCAAGUCGUGCGGAAAGGUCCAGCACCAAGUUUUCGAUAUUUUGUUCGUGGCUACGAACGUAUGAGUUCUAAUUAUCAGAACCGUAUCGAAAGUCUGGUGUUGGAUACUCGAGCGGCGGACGGGUGAGUAACGCGUAGGAAUCUACCCCAGACUGAGGGAUAACCAGCCGAAAGGUUGGCUAAUACCGCAUAACCUCUUAGGAGAAAAGCUCCGGCGGUUUGGGAAGAGCCUGCGUUCGAUUAGCUAGUUGGUGAGGUAAAGGCUUACCAAGGCGACGAUCGAUAACUGGUCUGAGAGGAUGAUCAGUCACACUGGAACUGAGACACGGUCCAGACUCCUACGGGAGGCAGCAGUAGGGAAUCUUCCACAAUGGGCGCAAGCCUGAUGGAGCAACGCCGCGUGCAGGAUGAAGGCCUUCGGGUUGUAAACUGCUUUUAUGAUUGAGGAUUAUGACAGUAGAUCAUGAAUAAGGACCUGCUAACUACGUGCCAGCAGCCGCGGUCAUACGUAGGGUCCAAGCGUUAUCCGGAUUAACUGGGCGUAAAGAGAUGCGUAGGCGGCUUUGUAAGCGGAUAUUGAAAUCCCACGGCUUAACCGUGUGGCUGGUAUCCGAACUGUGAAGCUAGAGUAUGUGAGGGGUCGCUGGAAUUCCCGGUGUAGGAGUGAAAUCCGUAGAUAUCGGGAGGAACACCAAUGGCGAAGGCAGGCGACUGGCACAUUACUGACGCUAAGGCUCGAAAGCGUGGGGAGCGAACCGGAUUAGAUACCCGGGUAGUCCACGCCGUAAACGAUGGAUGCUAGCUAUUUGGAGGUAUCGACCCCUUCAGAAGCGAAGCUAACGCGUUAAGCAUCCCGCCUGAGUAGUACGAGCGCAAGCUUAAAACUCAAAGGAAUUGACGGGGACCCGCACAAGCGGUGGAGCGUGUGGUUUAAUUCGAUGGUAAACGAAGAACCUUACCAAGGUUUGACAUCCUGCGAAGGACUGCGAAAGCAGACUGUGCCUUUUGGAACGCAGUGACAGGUGUUGCAUGGCCGUCGUCAGCUCGUGUCGUGAGAUGUUGGGUUAAGUCCCGCAACGAGCGCAACCCUUAUGUUUAGUUGGAUUUUUCUAAACAGACUGCCCUGGUAACAGGGAGGAAGGAGGGGAUGAUGUCAGGUCAGUAUUACCCUUACACCUUGGGCUACACACGCGCUACAAUGGCCGGUACAAUGGGCAGCUAAGCAGUAAUGUGGAGCAAAUCCCAUCAAAGCCGGUCCCAAUUCGGAUUGAGGGCUGAAACUCGCCCUCAUGAAGCCGGAAUCGCUAGUAAUCUGCGAGUCAGCAAAUCGCGGUGAAUACGUUCCCGGGUCUUGUACACACCGCCCGUC
rnacentral:rRNA from 1 species